CCUACGGGGGGCUGCAGUGGGGGAUAUUGCACAAUGGGGGAAACCCUGAUGCAGCGACGCCGCGUGUGGGAAGACGGUCUUCUGGAUUGUAAACCACUGUCCCCAGGGACGAAAAUGACGGUACCUGGGGAGGAAGCUCCGGCUAACUACGUGCCAGCAGCCGCGGUAAUACGUAGGGAGCAAGCGUUGUCCGGAAUUACUGGGGGUAAAGGGAGCGUAGGCGGGGAUGCAAGUUGGGUGUAAAAACUACCGGCUCAACCGAUAGUCGCACUCAAAACUGCAACUCUUGAGUGAAGUAGAGGAAGGCGGAAUUCCUAGUGUAGCGGUGAAAUGCGUAGAUAUUAGGAGGAACACCAGUGGCGAAGGCGGCCUGCUGGGCUUUUACUGACGCUGAGGCUCGAAAGUGUGGGGAGCAAACAGGAUUAGAUACCCCAGUAGUC
rnacentral:rRNA from 1 species